GGGUUGUGAGGUUAAGCGACUAAGCGUACACGGUGGAUGCCCUGGCAGUCAGAGGCGAUGAAGGACGUGCUAAUCUGCGAUAAGCGUCGGUAAGGUGAUAUGAACCGUUAUAACCGGCGAUUUCCGAAUGGGGAAACCCAGUGUGAUUCGUCACACUAUCAUUAACUGAAUCCAUAGGUUAAUGAGGCGAACCGGGGGAACUGAAACAUCUAAGUACCCCGAGGAAAAGAAAUCAACCGAGAUUCCCCCAGUAGCGGCGAGCGAACGGGGAGCAGCCCAGAGCCUGAAUCAGUGUGUGUGUUAGUGGAAGCGUCUGGAAAGGCGCGCGAUACAGGGUGACAGCCCCGUACACAAAAAUGCACAUACUGUGAGCUCGAUGAGUAGGGCGGGACACGUGGUAUCCUGUCUGAAUAUGGGGGGACCAUCCUCCAAGGCUAAAUACUCCUGACUGACCGAUAGUGAACCAGUACCGUGAGGGAAAGGCGAAAAGAACCCCGGCGAGGGGAGUGAAAAAGAACCUGAAACCGUGUACGUACAAGCAGUGGGAGCACAGAGCAAUCUGUGUGACUGCGUACCUUUUGUAUAAUGGGUCAGCGACUUAUAUUCUGUAGCAAGGUUAACCGAAUAGGGGAGCCGAAGGGAAACCGAGUCUUAACUGGGCGUUAAGUUGCAGGGUAUAGACCCGAAACCCGGUGAUCUAGCCAUGGGCAGGUUGAAGGUUGGGUAACACUAACUGGAGGACCGAACCGACUAAUGUUGAAAAAUUAGCGGAUGACUUGUGGCUGGGGGUGAAAGGCCAAUCAAACCGGGAGAUAGCUGGUUCUCCCCGAAAGCUAUUUAGGUAGCGCCUCGUGAAUUCAUCUCCGGGGGUAGAGCACUGUUUCGGCAAGGGGGUCAUCCCGACUUACCAACCCGAUGCAAACUGCGAAUACCGGAGAAUGUUAUCACGGGAGACACACGGCGGGUGCUAACGUCCGUCGUGAAGAGGGAAACAACCCAGACCGCCAGCUAAGGUCCCAAAGUCAUGGUUAAGUGGGAAACGAUGUGGGAAGGCCCAGACAGCCAGGAUGUUGGCUUAGAAGCAGCCAUCAUUUAAAGAAAGCGUAAUAGCUCACUGGUCGAGUCGGCCUGCGCGGAAGAUGUAACGGGGCUAAACCAUGCACCGAAGCUGCGGCAGCGACGCUUAUGCGUUGUUGGGUAGGGGAGCGUUCUGUAAGCCUGUGAAGGUGUGCUGUGAGGCAUGCUGGAGGUAUCAGAAGUGCGAAUGCUGACAUAAGUAACGAUAAAGCGGGUGAAAAGCCCGCUCGCCGGAAGACCAAGGGUUCCUGUCCAACGUUAAUCGGGGCAGGGUGAGUCGACCCCUAAGGCGAGGCCGAAAGGCGUAGUCGAUGGGAAACAGGUUAAUAUUCCUGUACUUGGUGUUACUGCGAAGGGGGGACGGAGAAGGCUAUGUUGGCCGGGCGACGGUUGUCCCGGUUUAAGCGUGUAGGCUGGUUUUCCAGGCAAAUCCGGAAAAUCAAGGCUGAGGCGUGAUGACGAGGCACUACGGUGCUGAAGCAACAAAUGCCCUGCUUCCAGGAAAAGCCUCUAAGCAUCAGGUAACAUCAAAUCGUACCCCAAACCGACACAGGUGGUCAGGUAGAGAAUACCAAGGCGCUUGAGAGAACUCGGGUGAAGGAACUAGGCAAAAUGGUGCCGUAACUUCGGGAGAAGGCACGCUGAUAUGUAGGUGAAGUCCCUCGCGGAUGGAGCUGAAAUCAGUCGAAGAUACCAGCUGGCUGCAACUGUUUAUUAAAAACACAGCACUGUGCAAACACGAAAGUGGACGUAUACGGUGUGACGCCUGCCCGGUGCCGGAAGGUUAAUUGAUGGGGUCAGCGCAAGCGAAGCUCUUGAUCGAAGCCCCGGUAAACGGCGGCCGUAACUAUAACGGUCCUAAGGUAGCGAAAUUCCUUGUCGGGUAAGUUCCGACCUGCACGAAUGGCGUAAUGAUGGCCAGGCUGUCUCCACCCGAGACUCAGUGAAAUUGAACUCGCUGUGAAGAUGCAGUGUACCCGCGGCAAGACGGAAAGACCCCGUGAACCUUUACUAUAGCUUGACACUGAACAUUGAGCCUUGAUGUGUAGGAUAGGUGGGAGGCUUAGAAGUGUGGACGCCAGUCUGCAUGGAGCCGACCUUGAAAUACCACCCUUUAAUGUUUGAUGUUCUAACGUUGACCCGUAAUCCGGGUUGCGGACAGUGUCUGGUGGGUAGUUUGACUGGGGCGGUCUCCUCCUAAAGAGUAACGGAGGAGCACGAAGGUUGGCUAAUCCUGGUCGGACAUCAGGAGGUUAGUGCAAUGGCAUAAGCCAGCUUGACUGCGAGCGUGACGGCGCGAGCAGGUGCGAAAGCAGGUCAUAGUGAUCCGGUGGUUCUGAAUGGAAGGGCCAUCGCUCAACGGAUAAAAGGUACUCCGGGGAUAACAGGCUGAUACCGCCCAAGAGUUCAUAUCGACGGCGGUGUUUGGCACCUCGAUGUCGGCUCAUCACAUCCUGGGGCUGAAGUAGGUCCCAAGGGUAUGGCUGUUCGCCAUUUAAAGUGGUACGCGAGCUGGGUUUAGAACGUCGUGAGACAGUUCGGUCCCUAUCUGCCGUGGGCGCUGGAGAACUGAGGGGGGCUGCUCCUAGUACGAGAGGACCGGAGUGGACGCAUCACUGGUGUUCGGGUUGUCAUGCCAAUGGCACUGCCCGGUAGCUAAAUGCGGAAGAGAUAAGUGCUGAAAGCAUCUAAGCACGAAACUUGCCCCGAGAUGAGUUCUCCCUGACUCCUUGAGAGUCCUGAAGGAACGUUGAAGACGACGACGUUGAUAGGCCGGGUGUGUAAGCGCAGCGAUGCGUUGAGCUAACCGGUACUAAUGAACCGUGAGGCUUAACCUUACAACGCCGAAGGUGUUU
rnacentral:rRNA from 1 species